rnacentral:rRNA from 1 species
GACGAACGCUGGCGGCGUGCUUAACACAUGCAAGUCGAACGAAGAGCGAUGGAAGCUUGCUUCUAUCAAUCUUAGUGGCGAGCGGGUGAGUAACGCGUAAUCAACCUGCCCUUCAGAGGGGGACAACAGUUGGAAACGACUGCUAAUACCGCAUACGAUCUAAUCUCGGCAUCGAGGAUAGAUGAAAGGUGGCCUCUACAUGUAAGCUAUCACUGAAGGAGGGGAUUGCGUCUGAUUAGCUAGUUGGAGGGGUAACGGCCCACCAAGGCGAUGAUCAGUAGCCGGUCUGAGAGGAUGAACGGCCACAUUGGGACUGAGACACGGCCCAGACUCCUACGGGAGGCAGCAGUGGGGAAUCUUCCGCAAUGGACGAAAGUCUGACGGAGCAACGCCGCGUGAGUGAUGACGGCCUUCGGGUUGUAAAGCUCUGUUAAUCGGGACGAAAGGCCUUCUUGCGAAUAGGGAGAAGGAUUGACGGUACCGGAAUAGAAAGCCACGGCUAACUACGUG